AUAACUGCUAGAUCUGACGUUACCUAAAGAAUCAGCACCGGCUAACUCUGUGCCAGCAGCCGCGGUAAUACAGAGGGUGCAAGCGUUAAUCGGAAUUACUGGGCGUAAAGGGUCUGUAGGCGGAUUAUUAAGUCGGAUGUGAAAUCCCCGGGCUCAACCUGGGAACGGCAUUCGAUACUGGUAGUCUAGAGUGUGCAAGAGGAUGGGGGAAUUCCUGGUGUAGCAGUGAAAUGCGUAGAGAUCAGGAGGAACAUCAAUGGCGAAGGCACCUUUCUGGGGCAACACUGACGCUGAGAGACGAAAGCGUGGGGAGCAAACAGGAUUAGAUACCCUGGUAGUCCACGCCCUAAACGAUGUCAACUAACUGUUCGGAGUCACUAAGAUUCUGAGUAGUGAAGCUAACGCGAUAAGUUGACCGCCUGGGGAGUACGGCCGCAGGGUUGAAACUCAAAGAAAUUGACGGGGGCCCGCACAAGCGGUGGAGUAUGUGGUUUAAUUCGAUGCAACGCGAAGAACCUUACCCGGUCUUGACAUGGUAGGAAUCUUGUAGAGAUACGAGAGUGCCUUCGGGAACCUACACACAGGUGCUGCACGGCUGUCGUCAGCUCGUGUCGUG
rnacentral:rRNA from 1 species